GAGAGAGAGAGAGGAGAGAGAGAGAGAGAGAGAGAGAGAGAGAGACUCGUAGACGCUGAACCUGUUUUCAUGCCUUCAGUGGAGCGGAGCGGGCGAUGGAUGUGAGAUUUUAUCCUGCACCCCCUUCGAGCGUGGGCUCCUGCACGUUAUCCACCGACUCCAGCCUCGCCUCUCUGGACUAUUACCACUGCAACAAGCCACCUAAAAAUAACUCCAAAGCAGUGCAAUUACUGGAGACGGGUAGCAAGGCACCGAAUCUAGGAGUGUGAAUAUAGGGCUUAUACAUAAAAGACAUAAUACACAAUUUAAUGACAACAAAAUCAAUAAAGACCAUCAAAGCACCCGCAUCACAUGUGACAGCGAAAACAACAGCAAUAAUAACAAUAAUAAUAAUAAAUAUAGCUAUCUAUAAAGGAGCAAUCUGUGGGGCCCAAGCACCCUCUGCGGAGAUGUUUUUGUUCGCCGAGUCUCAGACAGCGAUGAGUGUUUUGACACCAACAUUAUGAAGAUACACCAAAAAUCCUAGGACUAGCUUUCCUAGCUUGCCAAAGUAGGUUUCGCAUUUCAUGCAAAGCAUCGAGGUAGGCGGAGCUUAACGAUCCCACUUGUAAGUUUGUUCCCGUUAAGCCGAGUUAAAACCAAAAUGUUUCUACAACUCACAUGUCUCGAGAUUUGGGCUAAAAUGUAAGAUGCUGCACGACAGCGCCACCAUCAGGCUAGUCAAGCAUGAUUCUUUCUACUUUCUACUUUUUUUUUUUAAGUGGCAGAAAAAUUCUCACGGAAACAAAAGGGUACCAAGCACCUUGUGUUGCCCACUAAUCAUAAAAAUAAUGCCUGCUACUGUGUGUUUCUGUGUGUGUGUGUGUGUGUGUGUGUGUGUGUGCUCACAUGGAUAAUACACCCUGAGGCAAGAUCUAUGGAGCAUAUGAUUCGAUGGGAAUAAGCCCCAGGUGUACAAUCGUACUGAUUUAACACACACACACACACACACACACACACAAAACAGUUUUCUAUAUUUUGAUACCUUCUUCUUUCCUUACUCUACAGAAUUCGGUUAAGUUCUUGCUCGGUACAAGCUUCUGUUUUUUUUUUUUUUUUUUUCUCUCUCUCAUCCUGCUCUACAUCCAGCUGGUUGCACUCGCUAUCAGCAAGUAAACUGUUGUUCAUGUACAAUGCAAGUGCUUGUUCCUCUUUUCCUAAACCGAUUCCCUACAACCAUGUUUACAGUCAAUAUGUUUCCCCCCCCAUGACUCAACCACUGUGGAAAUAUAAGAUAUGGCAUUUACAUUUAUUCUUUUGCCAGAUGCUUUUUUUCCCGACGCAGAUACAGUGCAAGCAUGUAGAAAAUGAAGUGUUGGCCCACAGCACUCCGUUUUACACAUGGCAAGGGUAAUUAGGCAGAAAGAAGCCAUCUAAAUGACUGAGAGACAAACUAACUGACUGUAUUUUAGGCUGCUUUGGGUUGCUCAUUCAUUCUGACUGGAGAGAAGCUUGCUAUGCUCACCAUGCAAAGAGCUAAACCACUCAUAUUAUAAAGCAAGGAAUGCACUACUGGGUAAAGAAAAAAAAAAAAACCCGGUAGAGACGGGCAACAAAAGGAUCAGCUCUGUUAGGAAUAUUUAUGAGUUUGAAAUAACAGUCAUCAAAGUCCUCUUAGCAUGUGAAAAUGAU
ensembl:lncRNA